rnacentral:rRNA from 1 species
GUGACUCCUACGGGAGGCAGCAGUGGGGAAUAUGCACAAUGGGGGAAACCCUGAUGCAGCCAUGCCGCGUGUGUGAAGAAGGCCUUCGGGUUGUAAAGCACUUUCAGUAGGGAGGAAGGUAGUGUAGUUAACACCUGCAUUAUUUGACGUUACCUACAGAAGAAGCACCGGCUAACUCCGUGCCAGCAGCCGCGGUAAUACGGAGGGUGCGAGCGUUAAUCGGAAUUACUGGGCGUAAAGCGCAUGCAGGCGGCCUGUUAAGUCAGAUGUGAAAGCCCGGGGCUUAACCUCGGAAUUGCAUUUGAAACUGGCAGGCUAGAGUCUUGUAGAGGGGGUAGGAAUUUCAGGUGUAGCGGUGAAAUGCGUAGAGAUCUGAAGGAAUACCAGUGGCGAAGGCGGCCCCCUCGGACAAAGACUGACGCUCAGAUGCGAAAGCGUGGGGAGGCAAACAGGAUUAGAUACCCUCGGUAG